rnacentral:rRNA from 1 species
AAGUGCUGAAAGCAUCUAAGCAUGAAGCCCCCCUCAAGAUGAGAUUUCCCAACUUCGGUUAUAAGAUCCCUCAAAGAUGAUGAGGUUAAUAGGUUCGAGGUGGAAGCGUAGCGAUACGUGGAGCUGACGAAUACUAAUCGAUCGAAGACUUAAUCAA